rnacentral:misc_RNA from 1 species
GCAAACUUGGUCAUUUAGAGGAAGUAAAAGUCGUAACAAGGUUUCCGUAGGUGAACCUGCGGAAGGAUCAUUACUGUAGGAUCUGUAGCCGCCGCAUAAGCCGCAUCUGCGGUGACGGUGGUGAGUUGCAGAGCCGAACCCUUCUACCCUUGUCUAUGAGCACCUCUCGUUUCCUCGGCGGGUUCGCCCGCCAGAGGACCUUACCUAAAACCCUUUUGCCAUCCUUGCAGUACUGUCUGAUAGCGAAAGCAAUAUAAAUCAAAACUUUCAACAACGGAUCUCUUGGUUCUGGCAUCGAUGAAGAACGCAGC